rnacentral:rRNA from 1 species
GAUGAACGCUAGCUACAGGCUUAACACAUGCAAGUCGAGGGGUAACGAGAGGAAAGCUUGCUUUCCUUGUCGACGACCGGCGCACGGGUGAGUAACGCGUAUCCAACCUGCCCCCAACUAGGGAAUAACCUUGCGAAAGUAAGACUAAUACCCUAUAAUUUCCUCCGAUGUCAUCUGACGAGGAAUAAAGAUUGAUCGGUUGUGGAUGGGGAUGCGUCUGAUUAGCUUGUUGGCGGGGUAACGGCCCACCAAGGCAACGAUCAGUAGGGGUUCUGAGAGGAAGGUCCCCCACAUUGGAACUGGGACACGGUCCAAACUCCUACGGGAGGCAGCAGUGAGGAAUAUUGGUCAAUGGGCGGAAGCCUGAACCAGCCAAGUAGCGUGCAGGAUGACGGCCCUAUGGGUUGUAAACUGCUUUUAUACAGGAAUAAAGUUAGCCACGUGUGGUUAUUUGUAGGUACUGUAUGAAUAAGGACCGGCUAAUUCCGUGCCAGCAGCCGCCGUAA